rnacentral:rRNA from 2 species
AAUGAACGCUGGCGGCAGGCCUAACACAUGCAAGUCGAACGGAGUUAUAUUGUAGCUUGCUAUGGUAUAACUUANUGGCAGACGGGUGAGUAAUGUAUAGGAAUCUACCUAGNAGUACGGAAUAAUUGUUGGAAACGGCAACUAAUACCGUAUACGCCCUACGGGGGAAAAAUUUAUUGCUAUUAGAUGAGCCUAUAUUAGAUUAGUUAGUUGGUGAGGUAAAGGCUUACCAAGACAAUGAUCUAUAGCUGAUCUGAGAGGAUGAUCAGCCACACUGGAACUGAGAUACGGUCCAGACUCCUACGGGAGG